rnacentral:rRNA from 1 species
GAGUCGGGUUGUUUGGGAAUGCAGCCCAAAUCGGGCGGUAAAUUUCGUCCAAGGCUAAAUAUUGGCGAGAGACCGAUAGCAAACAAGUACCGCGAGGGAAAGAUGAAAAGGACUUUGAGAAAAGAGUCAAAGAGUACUUGAAAUUGUCGGGAGGGAAGCGGAUGGGGGCCGGCGGUGCGUCCCGGUCGGAUGUGGAACGGCGCGUAGCCGGUCUGCCAAUCGACUCGGGGCGUGGACCGACGCGGAUUGGGGCGGCGUCGCAAGCCCGGGCCUUUGUUGUGCUCGCGGAGACGUCGUCGCCUCGAUUGUGGCUGGCAGCGCGCGCCUACGGCGUGCUUCGGCAUCAGCGCGCUCCGGGCGUCGGCCUGCGGGCUCCCCAUUCGGCCCGUCUUGAAACACGGACCAAGGAGUCUGACAUGUGUGCGAGUCAACGGGCCAGAAAACCCGUUAGGCGCAAGGAAGCUGACUGGCGGGAUCCCCUGGAGGGUUGCACCGCCGACCGACCUUGAUCUUCUGAGAAGGGUUCGAGUGUGAGCAUGCCUGUCGGGACCCGAAAGAUGGUGAACUAUGCCUGAGC